AUUGAACGCUGGCGGCAUGCUUUACACAUGCAAGUCGAACGGCAGCGCGGGCUUCGGCCUGGCGGCGAGUGGCGAACGGGCGAGUAAUGCAUCGGAACGUGCCCAGCCGUGGGGGCUAGCCCGGCGAAAGCCGGCUUAAUACCGCAUACGACCUGAGGGUGAAAGCGGGGGACCGAAAGGCCUCGCGCUAUUUGAGCGGCCGUUGUCGGAUUAGCUAGUUGGUGGGGUAAAGGCUUACCAAGGCGACGAACCGUAGCUGAUCUGAGAGGACGACCCGCCACACUGGGACUGAGACACGGCCCAGACUCCUACGGGAGGCAGCAGUGGGGAAUUUUGGACAAUGGGGGCAACCCUGAUCCAGCCAUGCCGCGUGCGGGAAGAAGGCCUUCGGGUUGUAAACCGCUUUUGUUCGGGAAGAAAACCUCUGGGCUAAUACCCCGGGGGGAUGACGGUACCGGAAGAAUAAGCACCGGCUAACUACGUG
rnacentral:rRNA from 1 species